GACGAACGCUGGCGGCGUGCUUAACACAUGCAAGUCGAGCGGUAAGGCCCUUUCGGGGGUGCACGAGCGGCGAACGGGUGAGUAACACGUGGGUGACCUGCCCUCAGCUCUGGGAUAAGCCUGGGAAACCGGGUCUAAUACUGGAUAUGACUCCAUGACGCAUGUUGUGGGGUGGAAAGCCUUGUGCGGCUGAGGAUGGGCCCGCGGCCUAUCAGCUUGUUGGG
rnacentral:rRNA from 1 species